rnacentral:rRNA from 1 species
UACGAAGGGAGCUAGCGUUGUUCGGAAUCACUGGGCGUAAAGCGCACGUAGGCGGAUUUGCCAGUCAGGGGUGAAAUCCCGGGGCUCAACCUCGAAACUGCCUUUGAUACAGCAAGUCUUGAGUUCGAGAGAGGUGGGUGGAAUUCCUAGUGUAGAGGUGAAAUUCGUAGAUAUUAGGAAGAACACCGGUGGCGAAGGCGGCCCACUGGCUCGACACUGACGCUGAGGUGCGAAAGCGUGGGGAGCAAACAGG